UACGGCCAUAUCACUUUGAAACACCGAUUCCCGUAUGAUCAUCGUAGUUAUGCAUUGUUGAAUCUGUUCAGUACGUAGAUGGGUGACUGCUUGUGAUUAUCAGGUGCUGUAAA